UGGGGAAUUUUGGACAAUGGGGGCAACCCUGAUCCAGCCAUCCCGCGUGUGCGAUGAAGGCCUUCGGGUUGUAAAGCACUUUUGGCAGGGAAGAAACAGCCUGGAUAAUACCCCGGGCGACUGACGGUACCUGCAGAAUAAGCACCGGCUAACUACGUGCCAGCAGCCGCGGUAAUACGUAGGGUGCAAGCGUUAAUCGGAAUUACUGGGCGUAAAGCGUGCGCAGGCGGUUCGGAAAGAAAGGUGUGAAAUCCCAGGGCUUAACCUUGGAACUGCACUUUUAACUACCGAGCUAGAGUACGUCAGAGGGGGGUAGAAUUCCACGUGUAGCAGUGAAAUGCGUAGAGAUGUGGAGGAAAUACCGAUGGCGAAGGCAGCCCCCUGGGAUGAUACUGACGCUCAUGCACGAAAAGCGUGGGGAGCAAAACAGGAUUAGAUACCCUGGUAGUCCACGCCUAAAACGAUGUCAACUAGCUGUUGGGGUUUAUUAACCUUAGUAGCGCAGCUAACGCGUGAAGUUGACCGCCUGGGGAGUACGGUCGC
rnacentral:rRNA from 1 species